rnacentral:rRNA from 1 species
GAAUCCCGUCUUUGACAUGGACUACCAGUGCAUUGCGGUUGCGCUCUCAACGAGUCGAGUUGUUUGGGAAUGCAGCUCUAAAUGGGUGGUAAAUUCCAUCUAAAGCUAAAUAUUGGCGAGAGACCGAUAGCGAACAAGUACCGUGAGGGAAAGAUGAAAAGCACUUUGGAAAGAGAGUGAAACAGUACGUGAAAUUGUUGAAAGGGAAACGCUUGAAGUCAGUCGCGUCGACCGAGACUCAGCCUUGCCCUUGGCUUGGUGUACUUCUCGGCUGACGGGUCAGCAUCAAUUUUGACCGUCGGAUAAAGGCCGAGGGAACGUGGCAUCCUCCGGGGUGUGUUAUAGCCCUUGGUUCGCAUACGGCGAUUGGGAUUGAGGAACUCAGCACGCCUUCAUUGGUCGGGGCUUAAUCGCUCACGUUAACGUGCUUAGGAUGCUGGCAUAAUGGCUUUAAGCGACCCGUCUUGAAACACGGACCAAGGAGUCUAACAUGCCCGCGAGUGUUUGGGUGCUAAAACCCGAGCGCGUAAUUAAAGUGAAAGUUGAGAUCCCUGUCGUGGGGAGCAUCGACGCCCGGACCAGAACUUCUGUGACGGAUCUGCGGUAGAGCGUGUAUGUUGGGACCCGAAAGAUGGUGAACUAUGCCUGAAUAGGGUGAAGCCAGAGGAAACUCUGGUGGAGGCUCGUAGCGAUUCUGACGUGCAAAUCGAUCGUCAAAUUUGGGUAUAGGGGCGAAAGACUAAUCGAACCAUCUAGUAGCUGGUUCCUGCC